UGCAAGUCGAGGGGCAGCAUAAAACAAGCUUGCUUGUUUGGUGGCGACCGGCGCACGGGUGCGUAACGCGUAUGCAACCUACCUUAUACUGGGGUAUAGCCCGGAGAAAUUCGGAUUAAUCCCCCAUAGUAUUAUCUAUUGGCAUCAAUUAAUAAUUAAAGUUCCAACGGUAUAAGAUGGGCAUGCGUCCUAUUAGCUAGAUGGUGAGGUAAUGGCUCACCAUGGCUACGAUAGGUAGGGGGCCUGAGAGGGUAGUCCCCCACACUGGUACUGAGACACGGACCAGACUCCUACGGGAGGCAGCAGUGAGGAAUAUUGGUCAAUGGGCGCAAGCCUGAACCAGCCAUGCCGCGUGAAGGAAGAAGGUUCUAUGGAUUGUAAACUUCUUUUAUUUAGGAAUAAACCUCUCGACGUGGCGGGAGCUGAAGGUACUAAAUGAAUAAGCACCGGCUAACUCCGUGCCAGCAGCCGCGGUAAUACGGAGGGUGCAAGCGUUAUCCGGAAUCAUUGGGUUUAAAGGGUCCGCAGGCGGAUUUAUAAGUCAGUGGUGAAAUCCUGCAGCUCAACUGCAGAACUGCCAUUGAUACUGUAAGUCUUGAAUUUGAUCGGAGUGGGCGGAAUGUGUAGUGUAGCGGUGAAAUGCAUAGAUAUUACACAGAACACCGAUAGCGAAGGCAGCUCACUAGGUUAUAAUUGACGC
rnacentral:rRNA from 1 species